UACAGAGGUCUCAAGCGUUGUUCGGAUUCAUUGGGCGUAAAGGGUGCGUAGGCGGCGCGGUAAGUCGGGUGUGAAAUCUCGGAGCUUAACUUCGAAACUGCAUUCGAUACUGCCGUGCUUGAGGACUGGAGAGGAGACUGGAAUUUACGGUGUAGCGGUGAAAUGCGUAGAUAUCGAGAGGAACACCUGCGGCGAAGGCGGGUAGCUGGGCCGACACUGACGCUGAUGCGCGAAAGCCAGGGGAGCGAACGGG
rnacentral:rRNA from 1 species